rnacentral:lncRNA from 1 species
AGCUCUUUUUGAAACCCCCCACCCUCUAAUUUUUGUCUUUCUUUUCUGCAGCUUUGCAUAAACCAGGCCAUUUUCACUGCCUUUCUGGACCAUGCACAACUGAGAUCACCAUGGCUUGGUAACACAUUUAUAGACCCAUUACACAUCAUCUGGAGGAAGGAAGACACAAAGGACUUUGAUAGCAUAAAGGAGAGGAGAGCUGGGCCAUCUUGUUGUGCAGCUCCGAAGCACAGUCAGGCCUGAGACUGAGACGGCGGGGAGGAGAUUUAUGACCGGCAAAAAAAGCCCAAAAAACAAAAAACGGGGUAGGUAACAUUGAUCAACGCUACUAGAUACUCAGAACAUCCAAGUGGUCAACGGGAGUGCAUUUUCAUGGAUUGCAGUUGCUGAUUCUUGUGCUCCUGUAGGCAGGAUAUUCAGUUCAGAGGGAGAAGGCCAACUUCAGCAGAGUGGGUCACCAGAGAAGUCAUGCAAAUAAACUUUUGUUCUCCAUAGCCC